AGUAGGGAAGGGAUAUCUAACUCUUCGGUCAAUAGAUUAGGUAGCUUAGUUUGGACUUAGGAUCAUUAGAAAUUCCCGGUUUUUUUUUGUUUGCUCUUUUGGUUUGGGCAUCCUAGAUUUCUCUUGCAUUUUCUCCAUUUCACUCUCUUUAUGAAUGCAUAUGAGAUCGCAUUCCUUUUAUGGAUAACCGAUUGGAUAAAUUUGCAACGUAUCCAUCACUGAACCCGACGUAGUCCCAGAGGUACUUCAUCAGAUUAACUUACAUGGAGCCCGAUCCAAAUAUAUAGAACUCGGCUGGUGCAGUAAAUUCAGGCAGAGUUCUGUUUGUAUUUCGACCAAUUCCAGGCAUGUUUCAGGCUUCUCUCUGCUUCAUACCUGUUAAGAACCUAACAUACAUCUAUUUGUUCUUGUGUAGCUUCAGUCCAACUUCUCAUUACAUCUUAGACUCUUUCUAAUCCAUAGCAACGAUUUAGUCUGUAGUUCAGCUCACCGUAAACCCAUCAAACAACAGCGACAGUAUCAUCUACUUCUCCAUCUCUGAAUUUUAACAUAAACCCAUGAAUAUCAAACGCCAGGAAAUCUACAAACCCUUAAACAAUCUCCAUCUGUUUCAUCCACUGAGUUCGAUGGCGUCAGCUCCAAUUCUUCACUGUUGACUCUAAAUCGAGGAAAACCCAUUUCAAUUUCAGCUUCGACUCCUUCUUCAGUUCAAUCAAUUUCCAUCUGCAAUGUCUUCUCAAACCCUAAAUCACCUUCAACAACACCACCAACCCAUGAAAAUCACCAUCUUCGGUUCAACAGCAGGUUCAUCAUCAUCUUCUCUGCAAUUCCAUCUUUAAUCAUCUCAGAUUCAGAAUAAAACCCAUCUUCAAUUAACUCACAGAUUCAAACCAAAAACCCAUUUCGA